UGGGGAAUUUUGGACAAUGGGCGCAAGCCUGAUCCAGCCACGCCGCGUGUCUGAAGAAGGCCUUCGGGUUGUAAAGGACUUUUGUCGGGGAAGAAAAGGUCGGGGUUAAUACCCCCGGCUGAUGACGGUACCCGAAGAAUAAGCACCGGCUAACUACGUGCCAGCAGCCGCGGUAAUACGUAGGGUGCGAGCGUUAAUCGGAAUUACUGGGCGUAAAGCGGGCGCAGACGGUUACUUAAGCAGGAUGUGAAAUCCCCGGGCUCAACCCGGGAAUUGCGUUCUGAACUGGGUGGCUAGAGUGUGUCAGAGGGAGGUAGAAUUCCACGUGUAGCAGUGAAAUGCGUAGAGAUGUGGAGGAAUACCGAUGGCGAAGGCAGCCUCCUGGGAUAACACUGACGUUCAUGCCCGAAAGCGUGGGUAGCAAACAGGAUUAGAUACCCUGGUAGUCCACGCCCUAAACGAUGUCGAUUAGCUGUUGGGCAGCCUGACUGCUUGGUAGCGAAGCUAACGCGUGAAAUCGACCGCCUGGGGAGUACGGUCGCAAGAUUA
rnacentral:rRNA from 1 species